rnacentral:rRNA from 1 species
UACAGAGGUCUCAAGCGUUGUUCGGAUUCAUUGGGCGUAAAGGGUGCGUAGGCGGCGCGGUAAGUCGGGUGUGAAAUCUCGGAGCUUAACUCCGAAACUGCAUUCGAUACUGCCGUGCUUGAGGACUGGAGAGGAGACUGGAACUCCGAGUGUAGAGGUGAAAUUCGUAGAUAUUCGGAAGAACACCAGUGGCGAAGGCGGCUCACUGGCCCGGUACUGACGCUGAGGUGCGAAAGCGUGGGGAGCAAACAGG